UACGGAGGAGGCAAGCGUUAUCCGGAAUUAUUGGGCGUAAAGCGUCCGUAGGUGGUUCACCAAGUCUGCUGUCAAAGGGUGGGGCUUAACCUCAUAAAGGCAGUGGAAACUGGUGAGCUAGAGUGCGGUAGGGGUAAGGGGGAUUCCCAGUGUAGCGGUGAAAUGCGUUGAGAUUGGGAAGAACAUCGGUGGCGAAAGCGCCUUACUGGGCCUGCACUGACACUGAGGGACGAAAGCUAGGGGAGCGAAAGGG
rnacentral:rRNA from 1 species